AACGCACCUUGCGCUCCUUGGUAUUCCGAGGAGCAUGCCUGUUUGAGUGUCAUUAAUAUAUCAACCUCCUCAGGUUUUUACUUGUUGAGUGUUUGGAUGUGGGGGUAUCUUUUGCUGGUCUUUUUUGAGGUCGGCUCCCCUGAAAUGCAUUAGCGGAACAAUUUGUUGACCGUUCAUUGGUGUGAUAACUAUCUACGCUAUUGACGUAAAGCAGGUUCAGCUUCUAACAGUCCAUUGACUUGGACAAAUUUUCAUUAAUGUGACCUCAAAUCAGGUAGGACUACCCGCUGAACUUAA
rnacentral:misc_RNA from 1 species